rnacentral:rRNA from 1 species
AGAGUUUGAUCCUGGCUCAGGACGAACGCUGGCGGCGUGCCUAAUACAUGCAAGUAGAACGCUGAAGAGAGGAGCUUGCUCUUCUUGGAUGAGUUGCGAACGGGUGAGUAACGCGUAGGUAACCUGCCUUGUAGCGGGGGAUAACUAUUGGAAACGAUAGCUAAUACCGCAUAACAAUGGAUGACACAUGUCAUUUAUUUGAAAGGGGCAAUUGCUCCACUACAAGAUGGACCUGCGUUGUAUUAGCUAGUAGGUGAGGUAACGGCUCACCUAGGCGACGAUACAUAGCCGACCUGAGAGGGUGAUCGGCCACACUGGGACUGAGACACGGCCCAGACUCCUACGGGAGGCAGCAGUAGGGAAUCUUCGGCAAUGGGGGCAACCCUGACCGAGCAACGCCGCGUGAGUGAAGAAGGUUUUCGGAUCGUAAAGCUCUGUUGUAAGUCAAGAACGAGUGUGAGAGUGGAAAGUUCACACUGUGACGGUAGCUUACCAGAAAGGGACGGCUAACUACGUGCCAGCAGCCGCGGUAAUACGUAGGUCCCGAGCGUUGUCCGGAUUUAUUGGGCGUAAAGCGAGCGCAGGCGGUUUGAUAAGUCUGAAGUUAAAGGCUGUGGCUCAACCAUAGUUCGCUUUGGAAACUGUCAAACUUGAGUGCAGAAGGGGAGAGUGGAAUUCCAUGUGUAGCGGUGAAAUGCGUAGAUAUAUGGAGGAACACCGGUGGCGAAAGCGGCUCUCUGGUCUGUAACUGACGCUGAGGCUCGAAAGCGUGGGGAGCGAACAGGAUUAGAUACCCUGGUAGUCCACGCCGUAAACGAUGAGUGCUAGGUGUUGGAUCCUUUCCGGGAUUCAGUGCCGCAGCUAACGCAUUAAGCACUCCGCCUGGGGAGUACGACCGCAAGGUUGAAACUCAAAGGAAUUGACGGGGGCCCGCACAAGCGGUGGAGCAUGUGGUUUAAUUCGAAGCAACGCGAAGAACCUUACCAGGUCUUGACAUCCCGAUGCUAUUUCUAGAGAUAGAAAGUUACUUCGGUACAUCGGUGACAGGUGGUGCAUGGUUGUCGUCAGCUCGUGUCGUGAGAUGUUGGGUUAAGUCCCGCAACGAGCGCAACCCCUAUUGUUAGUUGCCAUCAUUCAGUUGGGCACUCUAGCGAGACUGCCGGUAAUAAACCGGAGGAAGGUGGGGAUGACGUCAAAUCAUCAUGCCCCUUAUGACCUGGGCUACACACGUGCUACAAUGGUUGGUACAACGAGUUGCGAGUCGGUGACGGCGAGCUAAUCUCUUAAAGCCAAUCUCAGUUCGGAUUGUAGGCUGCAACUCGCCUACAUGAAGUCGGAAUCGCUAGUAAUCGCGGAUCAGCACGCCGCGGUGAAUACGUUCCCGGGCCUUGUACACACCGCCCGUCACACCACGAGAGUUUGUAACACCCGAAGUCGGUGAGGUAACCUUUUGGAGCCAGCCGCCUAAGGUGGGACAGAUGAUUGGGGUGAAGUCGUAACAAGGUAGCCGUAUCGGAAGGUGCGGCUG